rnacentral:lncRNA from 1 species
UUGUUGAUGUGACCGCGUGUCCACAACCCUGGGAUUCCCUCGCCCUCAGAUUCCAGAAUCCAAUUUCUUGGAUUUCAGUGUUUUUAAGGAUUCCGUGAGUCAGGAGCUUGGCCAGGCUCAGCUGGGACACUCAUCUUUGCUUCACCUCAUGUCAGCUGCAGCAUCUUAGGAAUGCAAGACAGCCUCAUUCACAUCCGGCGGCGGGUGCUGGCUGUCCACUGGGUGCCUUCGCUCUUUUUCAAGUGGUUUCUCAUCCUCUGGGGUUUCACUGUCUCCAUGUGGCCUCCCUAGCAAGUUGCUUAGAUUUCUUUACGUGGAAACUGGCUUUCUAGAGGGUAAAAAUGGAAGCUGCAAGGACUCUUAUGGCCCAGAAGUCCCAGAACGUCACUUCUUCCACAAGUCAUAGGGCCAGCCAAGAUUCAAGGGGAAGGAAACAGACUCUGUCUCUUCAUAUUUCAAUGGGACAAAUUGUUGCAGCCACCUUUGGAAACAAUCUACUGCAAUACACUACAGCAGUGGACAUCUGGGCCCUUACCAGGUGCCAGACGCCGUACUAACAGCUUUAUACGGAUGAACUCAUUUAAUCCUCCCAAACUCCAUGAGGUUUUGCAGCCCUUGCCAUGAGUGGCCAGUUGCUGAUAGCAUUGCUGCUGCCUGUUGCUAUUCUGGGAUAGGAACUGAGGAUGUGCUGUGAUUACCCAGACCAGAAGGAAGCUCAGAAGGCACUGGUCCUCUCAGGUGGCACCCAGAUCCAGUGUGAGCCAUGGGGGAUGAAGGGUGGUUAAGUGAAAAGCUUUGGAGUGCUGACAGGUGGUCCCCCUGAUAUGCCAGGAAAUUACUUCCGGGCAAGAGAAACAAAGGAGAGUCCAUCUUCUAAUGUUACUGGCGCCAUACCAACAAGGUGUCAGCUAGAAACCUCUCUCUCUCUCUUGCAAAUUCUAGCCUGCAAAACCUGAGGACUGGCCUCAGGCUAGUCAGAAAUUUGCCUGAAAACAUCAUUCCUUGGGGUGGUGGGACUUCUGGGUAAGCCAGUGUGACUUGAAUUCUUGAUUUCUUAUACUCCCUUCUAACCAACCACCUGAAUGCUGAUCUCUACUAGCUGUCUGUGUGCCUUGCAUUUCAAUCAGCAGCCUUACAAAUGAUGAUGAGGAGAAGGAGGAGGAUGAGGACGAUAGCCAACAUUUACUGUUCUUUUGCUACUGUCCUAAGUACUUUACAAAUACCAGAUAAUUUUUUCUUCAUAACACUGUCAUUACUCCCAUUUUACAGAUGAAGAAAACAAAGCUUAAAUAGAUCACAUGAUUUGGUCAAGGUCACUCAUGUCACAGAGCCUGAAUCCAAAUCCAGUGAAGCCUCCAGAGCCUAGUUUCUACCCAUGACCCUGUGUUGCCUAUUGAUGGUACAGUGUAGGUUUUUUCCUUCUUCCUUUUUCUUUUUUUGAAAGUCUUUAUUGAAUUAUAAUUGGCAUACCAUUAACUGCAAAUAUUUGAAAAAUACAAUUUUAUGAGCUCUGACAUACAUACACCCAUAAAACCAUUGUUACAAUCAAGAUAAUGAAUAUGUCCGUCAUUCCCCAAAAGCUUCCCUGUGCCCCUUGGUAAUCCACCCCUCACUCCCCACCCCAUUCUGUUCCUAGGCAACCAAUCAUCUGUUUUCUGUCAGAUUAAUUUGCAUUUUCUAGAGUUUUAUAUAUGGAAGCAGACAGCAUGUACUCUUUUUUUGUCUGGCUUCUUUCACUCAGCAUAAUUAUUUUUAGGUUCAUCUAUAUUGGUGCACGUAUCAACAAUUCAUUCUUUUCUAUUCCUGAGUACUAUUCCAUUAUAUAGGUGUACUAAAUUUGUUUAUUCAACUCUUGAUGGACAUUGAGUUGUUUACAGUUUUUGGCUAUUACAAAUAAAGCUGCUAUGAACCUUC